rnacentral:tRNA from 1 species
UCUAAUGUGGCAGAUUAGUGCAAUGGACUUAAACCCCAUACAUAAAGCCUUAACUUUUUUUAGAA